ACGAACGCUGGCGGCAUGCCUAACACAUGCAAGUCGCACGAGACCUUCGGGUCUAGUGGCGCACGGGUGCGUAACGCGUGGGAACCUGCCCUUAGGUUCGGAAUAACUCCCCGAAAGGGGUGCUAAUACCGGAUAAUGUCUUCGGACCAAAGAUUUAUCGCCUUUGGAUGGGCCCGCGUUGGAUUAGCUAGUUGGUAGGGUAAAAGCCUACCAAGGCGACGAUCCAUAGCUGGUCUGAGAGGAUGAUCAGCCACACUGGGACUGAGACACGGCCCAGACUCCUACGGGAGGCAGCAGUGGGGAAUAUUGGACAAUGGGCGAAAGCCUGAUCCAGCAAUGCCGCGUGAGUGAUGAAGGCCUUAGGGUUGUAAAGCUCUUUUACCCGGGAUGAUAAUGACAGUACCGGGAGAAUAAGCUCCUGCUAACUCCGUG
rnacentral:rRNA from 1 species